rnacentral:rRNA from 1 species
GACGAACGCUGGCGGCGUGCUUAACACAUGCAAGUCGAACGGAAAGGCCCUGCUUUUGUGGGGUGCUCGAGUGGCGAACGGGUGAGUAACACGUGAGUAACCUGCCCUUGACUUUGGGAUAACUUCAGGAAACUGGGGCUAAUACCGGAUAGGAGCUCCUGCUGCAUGGUGGGGGUUGGAAAGUUUCGGCGGUUGGGGAUGGACUCGCGGCUUAUCAGCUUGUUGGUGGGGUAGUGGCUUACCAAGGCUUUGACGGGUAGCCGGCCUGAGAGGGUGACCGGCCACAUUGGAACGGGGAUACGGCCCAGACUCCUACGGGAGGAAGAGGUGGGGAAUAUGGCACAAUGGGCGGAGGCCUGAUGCAGCAACGCCGCGUGGGGGAUGACGGCCUUCGGGUUGAAAACCGCUUUCGCCUGUGACGAGGCGUGAGUGACGGUAAUGGGUAAAGAGGCACCGGCUAACUACGU